GAGCCUGACUGGCGCAUUAAGGUACUGCUAAUUCCUUUUACUAUGAUUCAAUUUCAUAGCAGACUCA
rnacentral:tRNA from 1 species